rnacentral:rRNA from 1 species
CCCUUAGAUGUUCUGGGCCGCACACGUGCUACACUGAAGGAGGCAGCGUGUACUCCUGGAUCGAAAGAUUUGGGUAACCCGCGAAUCUCCUUCGUGCUAGGGAUUGAGGUUUGCAAUUAUCCUUCAUGAACGAGGAAUUCCCAGUAAGUGCAAGUCAUAAGCUUGCGCUGACUACGUCCCUGCCCUUUGUACACACCGCCCGUCGCUACUACCGAUUGAAUGAUUUAGUGAGGACUUCGGACUGGGACCGAUGCGGCUUUCGGGCUGCGUCGGUAUUCUGGAAAGAUGUCCAAACUGUAUCAUUUAGAGGAAGUAAAAGUCGUAACA